GGAUUAAGAGCUUGCUCUUAUGAAGUUAGCGGCGGACGGGUGAGUAACACGUGGGUAACCUGCCCAUAAGACUGGGAUAACUCCGGGAAACCGGGGCUAAUACCGGAUAACAUUUUGAACCGCAUGGUUCGAAAUUGAAAGGCGGCUUCGGCUGUCACUUAUGGAUGGACCCGCGUCGCAUUAGCUAGUUGGUGAGGUAACGGCUCACCAAGGCAACGAUGCGUAGCCGACCUGAGAGGGUGAUCGGCCACACUGGGACUGAGACACGGCCCAGACUCCUACGGGAGGCAGCAGUAGGGAAUCUUCCGCAAUGGACGAAAGUCUGACGGAGCAACGCCGCGUGAGUGAUGAAGGCUUUCGGGUCGUAAAACUCUGUUGUUAGGGAAGAACAAGUGCUAGUUGAAUAAGCUGGCACCUUGACGGUACCUAACCAGAAAGCCACGGCUAACUACGUGCCAGCAGCCGCGGUAAUACGUAGGUGGCAAGCGUUAUCCGGAAUUAUUGGGCGUAAAGCGCGCGCAGGUGGUUUCUUAAGUCUGAUGUGAAAGCCCACGGCUCAACCGUGGAGGGUCAUUGGAAACUGGGAGACUUGAGUGCAGAAGAGGAAAGUGGAAUUCCAUGUGUAGCGGUGAAAUGCGUAGAGAUAUGGAGGAACACCAGUGGCGAAGGCGACUUUCUGGUCUGUAACUGACACUGAGGCGCGAAAGCGUGGGGAGCAAA
rnacentral:rRNA from 1 species